rnacentral:tRNA from 1 species
GAGGGUAUAGCUCAGUGGUAGAGCACAUGUUUAGCAUGCUUGAGGUCCUGGGCUCAAUUCCCAGUACCUCCA